rnacentral:lncRNA from 1 species
UUUAAUGAAACUUCAUUAUCACAACCUAAUGGUUUCGAUGUUGGUAUCGGUAUGGAAUUAGAUAAUGAGACCCGGAAUAGGCGUUAUAAUAAUUUUGAGGAAGACUUACUAGAGGAAGAUGAUAUAGAAGAACAAUAAUUAGGUGAUACCCCUACCCCUACUAGUCCGGUUACGGAAUUACCGGAACACGGUGAAGAACUGUCCCCUUUACCGGAAUUUACUAGGGCCAAAGGUACUGAACGUACUAAAAGGUCUUUAGUUUGGAAAUUUAUGGAGCAUGAUAGGGUAAAAAGUACUGCUACUUGCAAUAAAUGCAAGAAUGUUUUUAAACAUUUGACUNNNNN